UACGAAGGGGGCUAGCGUUGCUCGGAAUUACUGGGCGUAAAGCGCACGUAGGCGGCUUCUUAAGUCGGUGGUGAAAUCCUGGAGCUCAACUCCAGAACUGCCUUCGAUACUGGGAAGCUCGAGUCCGGGAGAGGUGAGUGGAACUGCGAGUGUAGAGGUGAAAUUCGUAGAUAUUCGCAAGAACACCAGUGGCGAAGGCGGCUCACUGGCCCGAUACUGACGCUGAGGUGCGAAAGCGUGGGGAGCAAACGGG
rnacentral:rRNA from 1 species